rnacentral:rRNA from 1 species
CCUACGGGAGGCAGCAGUGAGGAAUAUUGGUCAAUGGACGAGAGUCUGAACCAGCCAAGUAGCGUGAAGGAUGACUGCCCUAUGGGUUGUAAACUUCUUUUAUAAAGGAAUAAAACGAGGCACGUGUGCCUUUUUGUAUGUACUUUAUGAAUAAGGAUCGGCUAACUCCGUGCCAGCAGCCGCGGUAAUACGGAGGAUCCGAGCGUUAUCCGGUUUUAUGGGGUUUAAAGGGGGCGUAGAUGGGUUGUUAAGUCAGUUGUGAAAGUUUGCGGCUCAACCGUAAAAUUGCAAUUGAUACUGGCAGUCUUGAGUACAGUUGAGGUAGGCGGAAUGCGUGGUGUAGCGGUGAAAUGCUUAGAUAUCACGAAGAACCCCGAUUGCGAAGGCAGCUUACUAAGCUAUGACUGACAUUGAUGCUCGAAAGUGUGGGUAUCAAACAGGAUUAGAUACCCGAGUAGUC